rnacentral:rRNA from 1 species
AGCAGUAGCCGCGGGAAUACGGAGGGUGCAAGCGUUAAUCGGAAUUACUGGGCGUAAAGCGUGCGUAGGUGGUGGUUUAAGUCCGUUGUGAAAGCCCUGGGCUCAACCUGGGAAUUGCAGUGGAUACUGGGUCACUAGAGUGUGGUAGAGGAUAGUGGAAUUUCCGGUGUAGCAGUGAAAUGCGUAGAGAUCGGAAGGAACAUCUGUGGCGAAGGCGACUAUCUGGGCCAACACUGACACUGAGGCACGAAAGCGUGGGGAGCAAACAGGAUUAGAUACCCCCGUAGUCCCUGUCUCUUAUAC